rnacentral:tRNA from 1 species
GGCGGCAUAGCCAAGUGGUAAGGCAGAGGUCUGCAAAACCUUUAUCCCCAGUUCAAAUCUGGGUGUCGCCU